rnacentral:rRNA from 1 species
UACGUAGGGGGGCUAGCGUUGUCCGGAUUUAUUGGGCGUAAAGGGCGCGUAGGCGGCCUUGCAAGUGACGGGUGAAAUCCCUCGGCUUAACCGAGGAACUGCCUGUCAAACUGCGUGGCUUGAGACCAGGAGAGGUGAGUGGAAUUCCCAGUGUAGCGGUGAAAUGCGUAGAUAUUGGGAGGAACACCAAUGGCGAAGGCAGCCUUCUGGGCCAACACUGACGCUCAUGCACGAAAGCGUGGGGAGCAAACAGG